CUUGGCUUCUAACUCCAGCUGUGACCCAGGGCUCUGGCACCUGGCCUCUGGACUCCAGCUCUGACCCUGGACUCUGAUUUCCUGGCUACUGACUCCUGCUCCAAUCUCUAGACAUGACCACCAUGUUCUGAUCACCAACAGGUAUAUCCAAUAUCCAACCUCUACAACAACUGAAAAGAGCAGCAGCAAAAUAUGAUUAAAGGGGAUUAAGCAUGUGCUUGGCUGAGUUGGACCUGAAUGUUCCAAGCCCAAGCUUGGACUUGAAAUGCUGAUACCUGUAGAAUGUAUUCAGUGGUGCGGUCAUGAUGAAAACUCCAGGAUGCUGAUGCUAUGAAAGGUCCGAAUUUUUGUCAUAUUUGCCUUUCUGGAUAUAUCACCUGAAAGUACAAUAUGUAGGUGUCCCCCGCAGGAAGCAGCAGGGAGGAGAUUUUAAAGUGACCUGGCCAGAGGGCCAAGUCACAGAAAGAGGCAGACAGACCAUUGGCAGGAGGUACCCAAAGAGGAGAGAGCUGCUAUAGCAUGCCUGGCUACAAGGAGGUGCUAGUGGUGAAGAGGAUGGCAUAGAGAAGACAGAAGUGGAUCAGAGAGGAUGUCUAUAUAUGGUGAGAUAAGGCUUGCAAUCAGCAAACCACAACAUGCUGGCAGGCUUCCUGUGUAUUCCAGCUUGGUAUAGUGAUUAGAGUGGUGGGGUGGAGUCAGAACUCUUGGGCUAUAUGCCAGACAUUCUGAGGGAGUGUUUGCCAGUGGUGAUACCAGUCAGCUCUGUGUUCUUGGGGAACCAGGGUGCAGUAUCCAGCCUGUCUGACUCAUAAAAGAUACCCACCCACACACACCAACCUCUACUUAAACCAAAACCCAUCAGAGAAAAGACUUGUAGAGAGACACACGUAGACCCCUCCUGACAAGGGUGACAAGAUUAAGACAUCUCCAUUAGCAUACAGAGUGAAGAACAGAGACAACUCCCCUAGCCUCAUCUGCAUGAAAGGUGGGACAGGAAGACAUCUCAGUUUGCAUACAGAAUGGAGAAAAGAGAAUCACGCUGAACUCUGGGACCAGGAAAAGCAGGGAAGGACUGCAUCAUGGUAAUCUCUGCUCCAGAUGCUAAUGAACCUACGUCUGCCCACACCCAGCUCGGCAGUUAUCAGACCAAUUCUAGUAAUGAAUCCUUGAUUGAUAUCCAAAAUACUGACACACCCUAGCUGCAUUGUGAGCUCCCUGGAAGAAAACACCACCCAUAGCCAAGAGUGAUCAGCUCCUAUUGUCUAGCCUAAAGAAAACCCUUGAGUCAUCAGUUAACCUAUAAACAAAUCUAGUGUUCUCCCUUGAACCAUUGUAUUUUCUCUACAAAAAUCCCUACUCAUCCUAGUCAGUGUUCUGAUGCUUAGAUCCAAACUAUGCAUCAGUUCCACUGGGAUUCCAUCUUCUCCUGACUGAUCGUGCUGGGGGCUCUGCCUGUCUCCAGCACUCAGGGCCAUGAGCUACCACCAUCACCUGGGAACUCUGACCAGUUCAAACCUCAUGGAGUGGGUGAGAUCCUCCUCUUUCUCUUUUUGUUUUUCUUUCUACCUUAGGUAUUAACCUUUAA